AUAAGGACAAAAACUAACUAGAAAGUGCAUUUUCUGAAGAAACUGCAGUGUGAAUGCUUGAAUCUGAAUGUAUGGACUGAAAUGAAUUAAUUGCUGAAUUUUGAGUUAAAAAUUUUGAAUGAGAUAAAAAAACAAAAAAAACAACCUGAAUUUAACCUGAAAACAACAGUGCUGAACUGCUAAAAGCUGAAGGUUACACAGAAGAAGAAGUUGGAAAAAAGCUGAAAAUGUUUUAAUUGUAAAUUAGAAAAACCUAAGAAAUGAGAAAAGAACAUUUAGAGUCAGAAAACAUCUGAAAGAAUAUUAAAAGGUCAUAUUCUUUGAAUCACUGAAUGACUAAAAUGUGAUCCCUCCACUUGGACCCACACAGUUUAAAAAGUUUACAUCUCUGAGCUUUGAAAGACAAGAUGUUGGAAAAAGAACAACGAUGGCGACGUUUUGAGGGUAAAAUGAUGGCUGUAACACUGUGGACACAGCAGCAGUUGAAAGAGAAGUGUUUAAGAUGAAUCUUGGCAGAGUGAGAGAGAGAGCUCGUUAAGCAGGCAGGUGUGAGCCUGGUUGCUAUAGUGACCGCACCCAAUGGCUCCAUACACACGACACAGACAUGCACCUCACUUUUGCUGCUUAAAAUGAACAGAAAAGUCAGGCCGAAACAAAUCGUUCCCAAAUGAAAAGUACAUGUCGUACUGACAAAAUUCUUUCACCGUGAGCGACAGCCAUGUCUAGUCUACCUAAUUCUCAGUUUUCAUGCCUGUGGAGCUUAUUAUAUGGACGUGGUGACAGUGGAAAGACACCAUGCUCUUCUGAUUUUCAAACGAACCUUCUGAGCCAUUUUAACAUUAGAGUCUAUGGAAGAGUUGGAGGGAGGAGGCUGUGCAUUGGUGACAUUUAUGAAAGAACCAUAACACCUAGGACAAUAGUAAACACAUUGGAUGAAAGAGGACAGCCAUGGCUACGUUUUGAGGGUAAAAUCAUACCUGUAGAGCAAACGCUGCGGACACAGCAGCAGUUUUAAAAAAGAUUUUAAGAUUAAUUUUUUUGCUCCUCUCACUCUAGCAGUUGAGCUGCCUCACUCUAGCCCCAACAUUCCGUCCCAUACACACCCAUUAUAAACUCUGAAACGGGUGAAAAAACAUCAUGAAACUUAAACUGGAACUGAAGAAAAAGUAUAAUAGAUAUUGAAAAGAUAAAUACAAGUUGAAUAGUUGAAUGUCUUGUCUUCGUUUUAAAGUUUGAAUGGUGGCUCUAUGUGAACGUAUGUUGAAGUAGUAAGAGUUUAAAAAUGAGUAAGUUGAAUGAGAAUUUGAAGGGUCUCCCCAUUGAAAUACAUGGGAAAUUUUUGUUGAAUAAAGUUGAAUAAAAUUAAAAAUAUAAAUGUUAAAAAUGAGAAAAGUAGAAGCAGUGUUGUCCAAAAGAAGAGGAAUCUAAUGGUGUUUGAAUGGUUUUUCUAAGUUGAACGGUUUUGAAGGAGAUAGUCGGCGAAAAACGUACGGAAUAGAAAAUAAUAACUAGAAAGUGCAUUUUCUGAAGAAACUGCAGUGUGAAUGCUUGAAUCUGAAUGUAUGGACUGAAAUGAAUUAAUUACUGAAUUUUGAGUUAAAAAUAUUGAAUGAGAUUAAAAAAACCCAAAAAAAAAACCGAAUUUAACCUGAAAACAAAGGUGCUGAACUGCUAAAAGCUGAAGGUUACACAGAAGAAGGAGUUGGAAAAAAACUGAAAAUGUUUUAAAUGUAAAUUAGAAAACCCUAAGAAAUGAGAAAAGAACAUUUAGAGUCAGAAAACAUCUGAAUGAAUAUUAAAAGGUCAUAUUCUUUGAAUCACUUAAUGACUCAAAUGUGAUCCCUCCACUUUGAUCCACACAGUUUAAAAAGUUUAAAUGCCUGAGCUUUGAAAGAUACGGUGUUGGAAAGAGAACAAUAAUGGCGACAAUUUGAGGGUAAAAUGAUGGCUGUAACACUGUGGACACAGCAGCAGUUGAAAGAGAAGUGCUUAAGAUGAAUCUUGGUACAGUGGCAGGCAGAGCUCGUUAAGCAGGCAGGUGUGAGCCUGGUUGCUAUAGUGACCGCACCCAAUGGCUCCAUACACACGUACACAGACAUGCGCCUCACUUUUGCUGCUUAAAAUGAACAGAAAAGUCAGGCCGAAACAAAUCGUUCCCAAAUGAAAAGUAAAAGUCGUAUUGACAAAAUUCUUUCACCGUGAGCGACAGCAGCUUCUAGUCUACCGAAUUCUCAGUUUUCAUGCCUGUGGAGUUUAUUAUAUGGACGUGGUGACAGUGUAAAGACACCAUGCUCUUCUGAUUUUCAAACGAACCUUCUGAGCCAUUUUAACAUUAGAGUCUAUGGAAGAGUUGGAGGGAGGAGGCUGUGCAUUGGUGACAUUUAUGAAAGAACCAUAACACCUAGUACAAUAGUAAACACAUUGGAUGAAAGAGGACAGCCAUGGCUACGUUUUGAGGGUAAAAUCAUACCUGUAGAGCAAACGCUGCGGACACAGCAGCAGUUUUAAAAAAGAUUUUAAGAUAAAUUUUUUUGCUCCUCUCACUCUAGCAGUUGAGCUGCCUCACUCUAGCCCC
ensembl:lncRNA